rnacentral:rRNA from 1 species
CCAAGGAGUCUAACAUGUGCGCGAGUCAUUGGGUCUUGUUCAGGCCCAGAGGCGCAAUGAAAGUGAAGGACGCCCCAGUCGGUGUCUGCGUUGGGAUCCCGGGGCUUCUAGCUCCGGGCGCACCAACGGCCCGUCCCGUCCGCCACGUCGGUGGGACGGAGCGAGAGCGUACACGUUGGGACCCGAAAGAUGGUGAACUAUGCCUGGGCAGGACGAGGCCAGAGGAAACUCUGGUGGAGGUCCGCAGCGAUUCUGACGUGCAAAUCGAUCGUCAGACCUUGGUAUAGGGGCGAAAGACUAAUCGAACCGUCUAGUAGCUGGUUCCCUCCGAAGUUUCCCUCAGGAUAGCUGGUGCUCGAUCGGAAUCAGUCUCAUCCGGUAAAGCGAAUGAUUAGAGGCCUUGGGGCCGAAACGACCUCAACCUAUUCUCAAACUUUCAAUGGGUGAGAAGUCCGGUUUACCCGACUGAAGCCCGGACGAUUCUCAGGAUGUGAGUGCCCAGUGGGCCACUUUU